rnacentral:rRNA from 1 species
AAUUUUGGACAAUGGGCGCAAUCCUGAUCCAGCCAUGCCGCGUUAUGUAAGAAGGCCUUCGGGUUGAAAAGCCCUUUCGGACGGAAAGAAAUCGCGCAGGCUAAUACCCUGCGCGGAUGACGGUACCGCCAUAAGAGGCACCGCCUAACAACGUGCCAUCAGCCGCGGUAAUACGUAGGGUGCCAGCGUUAAUCGGAAUUACUGGGUGUAAAGCGUGCGCAGGCGGUUGAUUAAGACAGGCGUGAAAUCCCCGGGCUUAACCUGGGAACUGCGCUUGUGACUGGUCAGCUAGAGUACGGCAGAGGGGGGUGGAAUUCCACGUGUAGCAGUGAAAUGCGUAGAGAUGUGGAGGAACACCGAUGGCGAAGGCAGCCCCCUGGGCCGAUACUGACGCUCAUGCACGAAAGCGUGGGUAGCAAACAGG